CCUGGCUGUCAGAGAGAGACUGAAUGAAGCCGCACCAGAGGCAGCUGCUAACUGGGUUGCCAGAUCCUGUGUUGCGUGUUUCCACACCAGCAUGCCGUCAACGUCAUUGAGCUUCAAUGGGUACGGGCCCAACUUUGUGAUUGACCAGUGAUAAUUCAGGAAAGAUAGAGACAAAAAGCAAAAGGAAAAAAAUCAGAGGACGGAAGCCCUGGAUGUUUUCUGAACAGCCCCGGACUUCUUAAUAGAAGAAAUUUAGAAGUAUUAAAAAGAUGCCGCCACAAAA